rnacentral:rRNA from 1 species
UACGUAGGGAGCGAGCGUUGUCCGGAUUUAUUGGGCGUAAAGCGCGCGUAGGCGGUUUGAUAGGCCGGGUGUGAAACCUCCAAGCUCAACUUGGAGCGGCCACUCGGAACUGUCAUGACUUGAGUCAGGUAGGGGAACACGGAAUUCCAGGUGUAGCGGUGAAAUGCUUAGAUAUCUGGAGGAACACCAGUGGCGAAGGCGGUGUUCUGGGCCUGUACUGACGCUGAUGCGCGAAAGCGUGGGGAGCGAACAGG